rnacentral:rRNA from 1 species
UACGUAGGGUGCAAGCGUUGUCCGGAAUUAUUGGGCGUAAGGAGCUUGUAGGCGGUUUGUCGCGUCUGCUGUGAAAUUUCGGGGCUCAACCCCGAACUUGCAGUGGGUACGGGCAGACUAGAGUGUGGUAGGGGAGACUGGAAUUCCUGGUGUAGCGGUGAAAUGCGCAGAUAUCGGGAGGAACACCGGUGGCGAAGGCGGUUCUCUGGGCCUUACCUGACGCUGAGGAGCGAAAGCGUGGGGAGCGAACAGG